rnacentral:rRNA from 1 species
UCAAGCAAGAAAGAGCACAAGGAGAAUGCCUUGGCACUAGGAGCCGAUGAAAGACGUGGUAAGCUGCGAAAAGCUUCGGGGAGGCGCAAACAGCCAUCGAUCCGGAGAUAUCUGAAUGGGGAAACCUACUUGAGCAAACCUCAAGUAUCCAUACGUGAAUCCAUAGCGUAUGGAAGGGAACGCUGUGAACUGAAACAUCUAAGUAGCAGUAGGAGGAGAAAGAAAACUCGAUUUCCUAAGUAGCGGCGAGCGAACGGGAAAGAGGCCAAACCGAAGGACCUGGUUCUUCGGGGUUGUGGACUGCAUUUAGCAUUGCUGAGAGAUAGACGAAUGGUUUUGGGAAAGCCAGCCGUAGACGGUGAAAGCCCGGUAGACGAAAUCUUGAAGCAGCGAGCAGGAUCCAGAGUACCACGAGACACGAGAAACCUUGUGGGAAGCCGGGGGGACCACCCCCCAAGCCUAAAUACUCCCUAGUGACCGAUAGUGAAGCAGUACUGUGAAGGAAAGGUGAAAAGGACCCCGGGAGGGGAGUGAAAGAGAACCUGAAACCUUGUGCUUACAAACAGUCAAAGGCCUACGGGCUGAUGGCGUACUUUUUGUAGAACGGUCCGGCGAGUUACUAAUGCCAGCGAGGUUAAGUGGUCAGAAGCCACGGAGCCGAAGGGAAACCAAGUCUGAAUAGGGCGUAGAGUUGGUAUUAGUAGACCCGAAACCGGGUGACCUAUCCAUGUCCAGGUUGAAGGAACCGUAAAAGGUUUUGGAGGACCGAACACACAUGUGUUGAAAAACGUGGUGAUGAGGUGUGGAUAGCGGAGAAAUUCCAAUCGAACUCGGAGAUAGCUGGUUCUCCUCGAAAUAGCUUUAGGGCUAGCCUCGAGCUGGAGUCUAACGGAGGUAAAGCACUGAACUGACGCGGGGCCCAAAAAGGUUACCAACUCAUAUCAAACUAAGAAUGCCGUCAAGAUACCCUCGGGAGUCAGUCUGCGUGAGAUAAGUCGCGUGGACAAAAGGGAAAGAGCCCAGACCGACAGCUAAGGUCCCAAAGUACGUGUUAAGUGGAAAAGGAUGUGGGAUUUCAUAGACAACUAGGAUGUUGGCUUAGAAGCAGCCAUACAUUUAAAGAGUGCGUAAUAGCUCACUAGUCGAGAAAACCUGCGCCGAAAAUGUAACGGGGCUAAAACACGACACCGAAGCUACGGAUUUCCUACUAGGUAGGAAGUGGUAGAGGAGCAUCCUGCAAGGACGAAGCCAAAGUGAGAGCGAUGGUGGACGAAACAGGAGAGAGAAUGCCGGAAUGAGUAGCGAGAUACAUGUGAGAAACAUGUAGGCCGAAUAUCUAAGGAUUCCUGGGUAAAGCUAAUCUUCCCAGGGUUAGUCGGGGCCUAAGGCGAGGACGAGAGUCGUAGUCGAUGGAUAACAGGUUGAUAUUCCUGUACUACACAUAAUCAGAACUGUGGGGACGCAGGAGGAUAGGGAAACCGGGGAAUGGAAAGACCCGGUCAAGCGCAAAGCUGUGGGAGAUAGGCAAAUCCGUCUCUUGUAAGUGAAGCGUGAUGAGGACUGAAAAAAAGUAAGGAAGUUUCCGAAUCCACACUGCCGAGAAAAGCCGCUAUUGCGUUAUGUGUACCCGUACCGUAAACCGACACAGGUAGAUGAGGAGAAAAUCCACAGGCCGACGGGAGAAGUGUUGUUAAGGAACUCGGCAAAAUGACCCCGUAACUUCGGGAUAAGGGGAGCCUCGCAAGAGGCCGCAGAAAAGAGGCACAAGCAACUGUUUAGCAAAAACAUAGGUCUAUGCGAAACCGUAAGGUGAAGUAUAUGGGCUGACGCCUGCCCGGUGCUGGAAGGUUAAAAGGAGAGGUCAGCGCAAGCGAAGCUUUGAAUUCAAGCCCCAGUAAACGGCGGCCGUAACUAUAACGGUCCUAAGGUAGCGAAAUUCCUUGUCAGGUAAGUUCUGACCCGC